GAUCAACGCUGGCGGCGUGCCUAAUGCAUGCAAGUCGAACGGGGCGCCUUCGGGCGCUCACGUGGCGGACGGGUGCGUAACACGUGGGCAAUCUGCCCCGGGGCGGGGGAUAGCCAUCGGAAACGGUGGGUAAUUCCGCGUACGCUCGCCUAGCAGUGGGCCGGGCGCGGAAAGGCGCAAGCCACCCUGGGAGGAGCCUGCGGCCGAUUAGCUGGUUGGUGGGGUAACGGCCUACCAAGGCGAUGAUCGGUAGCUGGUCUGAGAGGACGGCCAGCCACACGGGGACUGAGACACGGCCCAGGCUCCUACGGGAGGCAGCAGUGGGGAAUUUUGGACAAUGGGGGCAACCCUGAUCCAGCCAUUCCGCGUGUGUGAUGAAGGCCUUCGGGUUGUAAAGCACUUUUGGCAGGAAAGAAAUCGCACGGAUUAAUACUCUGUGUGGAUGACGGUACCUGCAGAAUAAGCACCGGCUAACUACGUGCCAGCAGCCGCGGUAA
rnacentral:rRNA from 1 species